rnacentral:rRNA from 1 species
GCUGGCCUCAAACUCACCCUGAACACGCCUGAUCUCAUCUGAUCUCGGAAGCUAAGCAGGGUUGGGCCUGGUUAGUACUUGGAUGGGAGACCUUAGAAAUUUUAAGAUUAUCU